UGUCCUCUGAUAUGAGCUGUAACGACACCAGGGCAGCUCUGACAAACCGCCCGUGUUCCAGACCUUCAGCCUUUGGGGACCUGAGGGCCUGCAGCGAAGUGAGUCACAGGCAAUGAGUCACCCCUGCUUUGUUUGUGUCGAUGAUGAUCCUGGGAGGAAGCAGUCGGGCUGCAGGAGAAGUUGGCUUUUCUCGGCUCGCAUAUAGUGGAAAGUGCUGGUUAUAACCUUGGUGACUCUCCUGUGUAGAAGCCGAAAUUCCCCUCGGCUUACAGGGUUGAGAGCAGCUGGUCUCCUUCAGAUACCUCUCCUGGGGAAGCCGAGGCAGGAAGCCCUCUCUUUUCUGCUCUGUGGAGCAUUCUGAAGAACACGAACCCUGCCAAGCCGAAGGGCUUGUUUCUGAAUUGGUUGUGAUGUUUGGCUACUGGUAACUACCGCCCCCUGGAGCUGGCUUCAGGAAACGCAGUUUAAGGAAUCUAGGGGGCCUUAACCCAAGCUUGAGGGCCUUAGGAAUCUCCGAAAACAUUUUCUAUACAAACAUGGAUACAUAUACAAAUAUGAAAUCCACUCUCUGUAACCUAAUGUUUAUUCAAAAAUGUAUUGCCAACAUUUUUUUUCGUAUUAAUAAACCUAGAUCUAGAACUUCAUUUACUGCAGGCAGGGCUUCCACUGUAAGGGAGUGUCAGAGUUAGAGGCAUGUGCCCAGUUGGGCAUUUGGCCUAUUUGCCAUUUUUACACUGAAACCAACAUUGUGAAUGAAUACCAUUGUACAUACAUCUUGCCUGAUGAUCUCCAUUAGACAAGUUACUUACACUAGCAUUACUGAACUAAAGGGUAGGCACUGGGUUUCUGGUGGGGUUUUUUUUUUAGUUGUUUUUUUUUUUAAUGCAUAACUGCCCUGAGAGAAAAGAUCGUAGCAGAGAACCCUUCCUCAGCCCCCUCAGGCAGCCGAUGAGCAUGAACGUUCCCUCACACCUUAUCAGCACUGCAUCCUAUGAUCCUGCAAAUGGUUUUCAAAGUAUCUGUUCCAAGAAACACAUUUUCCCUUCCCUGCUUAAAAUAUGGCUUCACAGGAGAAAGCCCAAACUCUCUGGGGAGAAGCUGAUGCUUAUUGAAUUGCUACUACCAUGUGCCAGGCACAAGACAUGGCCACUUAAUCCCAGGAGGUAGAUAUCAUUGUCCCCAUUUGACAGGGGAGGUUCAGAGAUGUUAGGUGACUUGUCCAAGAUCACACAACCAGCCAGAGUCAGGUUCUGAGUCCAGGUCUGAAGAUAAGGCUCAUGACCUCUCUCCUUGGAGCCCCUAGGGACACAGAAAAAUCCAGGGCCUACUCCACGCCUUCGAGCCUCAUCCCCUUCUGGACCCAGCAAAGUCCCUGUGAGUGAGCCACACCAGCGUCCCUCCCCAGGUGCUCACCCUAUGUCAGCACCUGGGUGCUGGAAUCAGAGAUGAUUUUCCUUAUUGCUUACCUAUACUUGCUACCAAGGCAAUAUUGAACUUAUUUCAUAAAGAAACAGAGAGGGGUUUUUUAUUUUAAAAACACCUCAUUGUCAAAAUUCUCUGGGAGAAAAAAAAGGAGAGCCCCUUCCAGUGGGGUUGGCGUGAGGCAGGAGAUAGUCAGGAGUGAGGAAACACUGGAGAUGCCCCAGGACCAGGACAAAGGACAUCGACACAGGACAGAGAGUCUGUUCAAGGACUGGUUGCCCCCGCUUUCUGGAAAAGAACUGAAUCACAGUGAAUCAUGACUGCGCCUGCACGGAAGAUGAUACAUGACCCCUUCUUCAUUAUAGCAGCAUUAUAAUAAAUUAGCAUUGUGGGACCCCCUCCUCCCCAGUGGGCAAUCAAGGAAAAUCAUGGCAGACUACAUGUGCAGUAGCUUAAAAGUAAUGUAACUACUUGUACUUGUACAAUAAAAGUCCACCAAAACCAGCCAGG